AUGUGUGAAAUAUCUACAAUGAAAAACGUCAGUAGAACAUUCCCAAACAGAUACAUUUUAACCUCAGCAACCAUCAGCAACAGGAUAAAAAGUGAUUUAAAAAGAGAAAGGUUUUCGCAAUAUUUAUGCUGCUGUAUCUUCCCCGAAGGAGCUUUUAUUUUACCAUUCAAACGGAAGUUUGUUUUCAAACCAGUCGCUAAAGGAGCAGCGGCAAGAAUCAGCUCUAAGCCAACAGCAAGCGCGCGGGCAAAAGUGGCCGGUUCCCGCAGCCGCCGCGUGGGUCGGCCGCCCGCAGAAGCGCCGUCUUACCUUGAGCGCGCAGGACUGGGAGAGGCUCACGGGCUCCCACGGAGAGGGCCGGGAAGGCUGCGUGCGAUCCGCCGCAGGCGACACGCGCUCGGCUUUUAUGGGCAGGUGGGAGGAGCCGCCCCUCAUGACUCCGCUUGGGGAUCAGGCUGAAGCUGGGACGUUGCCUGAAAUAUCACCUUUGCUUGGCUGCGUUUUCUUCCCUGUCCCAAUUUCCUGGUUGGGAGUGAAUCCUCACUCAGAGUCUGCUUCUGGAACCCAAGCCUAAGGGACUGAGCUACGUUUGUGUUGACCUACUAUCAAUCAAGACGAGCCUUGUUUAAGAACGGGCCCCCUUCUGUUUUGCACAUAUGCUUUCUUACCCUAGAAAUUUUUCAUAAAGUGGAAUGUUUUGAUGUUUCAAUGAGAUCACAUGUGUAAAGAUUCUUUGUACACUGCAGGAGCUAUAGAAACGUGAGUUAUGAUUACUGAAAUUUCAUUCCCUUUGCUCUAAUUUGGAGUUAGGGGAGAGAAAUCUGGCCUGUCAAGUACAUAUCACAGCUUCUCUUUCUCAGCUUCAACUGCAUGGGACUUUGUAUUUCUAUUUCUACUACUCCAUUGCCUCUGCUGAUACCUUGCCAAGGAGGUGAGUGUAUCAGGUCAGGAAGUAGACUUCUCAGAGUAAAGGAUGCAGAAUUGGAAAGCUUAGUGCACACACGGUUAGGUGUGGAGUGUGUCCUAUGAAGGUAACAGGUAUACUUAUUUCAUAGCAUUUAAUAUGCCUGUAUCCGUAAGUUUUUAACAGGCUUUGAUAUAUGAAAGUAUAUAAAGGUACACACUUUAUUAUAAUUGUCAACUAUAUUUUUGUAGCUUUCUCCUCUCACGUUUAGGAGAGGGGAGAAUUUAGCCCUUACUUUGAAAACAAAUACACGAGGAAAAAACAAGCGUAUCACAAACAAGAAUGCUCCUCUAUUACAUGUCCUGAUCCAAGGCUUUAGUUACGCCUCCUGGUGCUCAUGUUCAAUAAUUGCAAAGAAAAUACUUUUCUAUUAAAAAAUCUAAAAGGAAUUAAGAUGUGAUCUUUCUCCGUAAGAUCUCUGUGGUUCCUGCAGCGAUAGUAAUAUCUUCAGUUGUUGCAUUUGUAAUGGUUUUGUGAAGAAUGAGAUUGCCUCCUAAAGGGUAGGCGAGAAGUUCUCCAUCUGUAGACAGGUCUGGGCCAGCAUCUAUCCUCUAUUCCCACAACCCCCCAUGUUUUUUUGGAAUAAUAAGGGUGCUUUUAGUAGCUCAUGCAAGGGUGGCUGCUAAAACCCCGACCUGACCACUUUGCUUCUGUCUGAUGUUGAUUUUCUGACUUGGAACCAGUGGCAGAGCUCAAGGGAGGACUUUCCACCUUCCAUCCACCCUGCUCUUUUCUGGCUACAGCCAAGAGCUCCAGAUUUACAGAGAUUCUGGCUGGUGAAUUUGGAUGUAAUCACUUCAUUUCCCAGGAGGUCCAAUUCAGGAUUUACCCCUGGUUUAGAGUUGGUUGCAAGAGUUAUGCAAAACAGCUUCAAAACCGGGAAAGAGCAACCAGACGCCAUUGCCCUGAAGGCCUUGGGCACAGGCCCAGGAGUGCCUGGCUGUGUGGACUUGGAGCUGAGGCCCCUGGGACUGCAUGUGACACCAGUACUCAACACAUAAGAGACUCCCAGCUUAGUGCAAAAUAGAUUUUCAUUUGAUUUCUUCCCAGUGUUUAUCUAAUUGUAAACUCUGUAUUCUAAUUUGAGCAAUUGUUAUGUUUGCUCUCAGUAAAUCAAAAUGAGAGGUUCCGAGUAAUUCAUUUGUACCAAUGGGGGAAAAAAACCCCACUGUUGAAAUGGAUGAUUGUUACUUUGGUGAAAACAUGAAGAAUAAAAUUAUUCUAUUUGUGACA
rnacentral:lncRNA from 13 species